AUUGAACGCUGGCGGCAGGCCUAACACAUGCAAGUCGAACGAGUGGCGGACGGGUGAGUAAUGUCUGGGAAACUGCCUGAUGGAGGGGGAUAACUACUGGAAACGGUAGCUAAUACCGCAUACCAUCGGAUGUGCCCAGAUGGGAUUAGCUAGUAGGUGGGGUAAAGGCUCACCUAGGCGACGAUCCCUAGCUGGUCUGAGAGGAGGACCAGCAACACGGGAACUGAGAGACGGUCGAGACUCCUACGGGUGGCAGCAGUUGGGAAUAUUGCAAAAUGGGCGCAAGUCUGAUGCAGCCAUGGCGCGUGUAUGAAGAAGGCCUUCGGGUUUUAAAGUACUUUCAGCGGGGAGGCGUUACCCGCAGAAGAAGCACCGGCUAACUCCGUGCCAGCCGCCGCGGUAAUAC
rnacentral:rRNA from 1 species